GGUUCGAUUAUGGCUCAGAUUUUGAACGCUGGCGGAUGCUUUGGCUAUGCAAGUCGAACGGCAGCACGGACUUCGGUCUGGUGGCGAGGGCGAACGGGUGAGUAACGUAUCGGAACGUGCCUCAGUAGCGGGGAUAACUACGAAAGCGUAGCUAAUACCGCACACACCUUCUGGGGAAAGGGACCUUCGGGCUCACCACAUGAGCGCCGAUAUCGGAUUAGCUAGUUGGAAUGGCUCACCACAGCGACGAUCCGCAGUUGAAGAGGACGACCAGCCACACUGGACUGGAGACACGGCCCAGACUCACGAGGCAGGGAAUUUUGUGAUUAAUGUGGGGAAACUCGAUCCAGCCAUCCCGCGUGUGCGAUGAAGGCCUUCGGGUUGCAAAGCACCUCUUUGAAAAGAAACGGCACGGGAUAAUACUCCCGCAACUGACGGUACCUGCAGAAUAAGCACCGGCUAACUAACAUGCGCCAGCAGCCGCGGUAAUACGUAGGUGCAAGCGUUAAUCGGAAUUAAUGGGCGAAGGUGCGCAGGCGGUUCGGAAAAGAAAGAUGUGAAAUCCCAGUAUUUAACUUUGGAACCGCAUUUUUACUACCGAGCUAGAGUGCUUGAGGGAGGAAUUCGCGUGUAGCAGGAAUGCGUAGAUAUGCGGAGGAACACCGAUGGCGAAGGCAGCCUCCUGAUAACACUGAUAUCGAAACGAAAGUGUGGGGAGCAAAUUAGGAUUAGAUACCCUGGUAGUCCACGCCCUAAACGAUGUCAACUAGCUGCUGGGGCCUUCGGGCUUCGGUAGCGCAGCUAAUCGGCGGUGAAGUUGACCGCCUGGGGAGUACGGUCGUGAUUAAAACUCAAAGGAAUUGACGGGGACUGCAGCACAAGCGGUGGAUGAUGUGGAUUAAUUCGAUGCAACGCGAAAAACCUUACCUACCUUGACAUGGGUUCAAUCCCGAAGAGACGGGGAGCGUCGCAAGAGAACCGGAACACAGGUGCCGGCGGCUGUCGCCUCGCUCGUGUCGUGAGAUGUUGGGUUAAGUCCCGCAACGAGCGCAACCCUUUGUCAUUAGGUUGCUGCCGAAAGGGCACUCUUAAUGAGACUGUCGGUGACAAACCGGAGGAAGGUGGGGAUGACGUCAAGUCCUCAUGGCCCUUAUGGGUAGGGCUUCACACGUCAUACAAUGGUCGGGACAGAGGGUCGCCAACUAUGAGGGGAGCCGAAUCCCAGAACCGUAGUCCGGAUCGCAGUCUGCAAACUCGACUGCGUGAAGUCGGAAUCGCCAGUAAUCGCGGAUCAGUGAUGUUCAUGGCACACGUUCCGGUCUGUACACACCGCCUCGUCACACUCAUGGGAGUGGGUUUUACCAGAAGUAGUUAGCCUAACCGUAAGGAGAGGGCGAUUACCACGGUAGGACCAUGACUGGGGUGAAGUCGUAACAAGGUAG
rnacentral:rRNA from 1 species